AGCUAAUAAUCACGUGACAGGCGGAAGCGCGCCGGGCUCAUAACCCGGAGGGCAAUGGAUCGAAACCAUUCUCAGCUA